rnacentral:lncRNA from 1 species
GAGAGAUUGAAGGGAGAGAGACAGAAGGAGAGACGGGCAGAGGGAGAGAGAUGGAGGAGAGACAGGCAGAGAGGGAGAGAGAAAUGGAGGAGAGACAGAGGGAGAGACGGGCAGAGGUAGAGAGAGAUGGAGGGGAGAGAGAGGGAGAGACGGAGAGAGAGAGAUGGAGGAGAGACGGGCAGAGGUAGAGAGAGAUGGAGGGGAGAGAGAGGGAGAGACGGAGAGAGAGAGAUGGAGGAGAGACAGGCAGAGACAGAGGGAGAGACAGACACAGCAGAGGGAGGUGGAAGGGAGAGGUGGGGAAGAAACACCAGAGGAAGAGGUGAAACAGGGAGAGACGCAGAGAUAGGGCGAGACAGAGAUAGGAAGAAGUGGAGUAUGGGAUUGGGGGAGACGCAAAGACGAGGGUGGAUAAUGGGGUCAGAGGAAGAUACAGAGGUAAGAGGGGAGAGAGAGGAAGAUAGACAAGGUGGGGAUGGGGACACCCACAGAGAUGGGAUCAAGAUAGGAGCAGAGAGAGGCCCAGGGAGACGGGGAGGGAAAGAGCGGCAGGAAGAAGGAGAGAGACGGAAGCAGCAGAGACAGGGAGAAGACGGAGAGAGAGAGGACGGAGUGACAGAAACAGGAAUGAGGGAGGCCCAGGGAGAGGAUGAUAGAGGCGGGAAGAGAUGCAGGAAGGCGGGAGAGAUAAGCGAGGCAAGAAAGUUGGACAGAGAAGAAGACAGCAAGGCAGGAAGAGGGAGACAGAGACCCCAAGGCCACCAAGAGACACGCGCACAUGAAGGAUGGGGAAACAAUUGAGAUUGAGGGAGGCAGGCAGAGCGGAGCGAAAACAGGAGGACAGAAAUAGCGAAGCAAGGCCAAGAUCGGGACCCCCACCAGGGAGGUGCCCAGUACAGACAUGAAACAUCCAACAGAGAAGAGAGGAGCGGCCACUUCGAUCAACAGCUCCCCCCGCAACCUCGAGUUGUGCUGCAGACGGCAUCCCGUUUCCUCCCCCCUCACCCCCCAACACACACACACAACAUCGGUCUCUCCCCACCUGAAUCCUGAUGCUUGGGAGAGGCUGGAAGGGUGUUCCAGAACCUUGAGGAAGGGGUGGGAGCUUGGGGCGAGGGGUGCUGGGGGCCUGGAUGCCCUCAAGGUCCUUGGCAGGGGUAUUAAUAGCAGACUCAUAGCUCUGACAUGGGAGGGGAGAGCGAGAGGAGAGAGGGAGAGGACCGGCCGGCGAUGGGGGGACUGAUGCAGGGAGGGGGGUACAGGGAGAAGGUGAGAUAGAGAGAUGGAGGCACAGGGAUAUGGGGCAUCAGGUAUGUGGGGCUGGGGAGAGGGAGCCAAGUGUCAGAGAAAUGGGGGCGUGAAAGGUCUGAGGUGUAGGGACUCAGGAAAAAGGGGCUCAGAGAGGGAGAGAGAGAGGGUGGAGGAGAGUCCCUGAGGGACAGGGGAGCUAGGUGGGGGUCAAGACCCCUGCCCACCAUUCAAACCCCCUCCCUCCACGAGGCUCCUUGCCAACUUCCCCUGUCCUAGAUUUGGGGGUCCACAUUCCCACCACCAUCCCUGCAUCCCCUGUCCCCGCCUUACCUUUUCAUGACCCUGUUCUGUUGGGGGGAUGGCGGGGGGGCCAGGACCGGAACCCGGCGUCCAGCGACCCCAAGAUUCCGAGGAGGGCUCAGAGAGCCGAUGUCGGGGGGCAGGCCCCGGGGCGGCGGCAGUGGUGGCGGCGGCAGCAGCGGCAGCCCGGACCUCCUGUCUGUCCCUGGCUCCGUCUCUCCUUCCUCUUCCUUGGUCCUGUCCUGCCCUGUCUCUCCCCCAAGGUUGCGGCCACCUGGACUAGGCGAGGACGGGGCUACACAUGUUGCUCUGGAAGUUGGGCCCCGGACAUUGCAGAGGCUGUCGGGGUGUCCUCUUGCCGCCC